CAUUCCCAACUUCUAGAAAUGUCGGAUCAUCCUUCACAGAUAUCCCCAACUCCAACCUUUCACGGGGCGGCGCCUCAAGAUCUAAAUGCAAAAUAUACUGAUUUCUUGGAUGAUACACUGCUUGCAAAGUCCUCAUCAUUCUACGACUAUCGCCCUUUGUCCCUGAGAUGAGAUAAGCUAAUCUAGGGGCCUCCAAUUUUGAAUAACCACUUGUGUUAAACGACUUGUUUAAUUCGGAUUCAACGAAAUACCCACUGGCGUCCUCUGAUCUUGAAAAUGAAAUAAUGUCAAAUGGCAACUGAUCUCCCCCAUAAGAAGAGGUAAAUAGCCCAAAAGUAGCUGACAGAAAUAGAGUCAAAGAUACAAGGAGGCUUGCAAAAAAUGGAAUAAGCCAUUUUCUAUCACUAAACACCCUUCCUGAGUGGGAAUUGGCAUUUUUUCUCAUACUCAUUAAUCGGUUUUUCAUGGACAGCAAUUCCCUCUAGCUGAAAACUCGGAGGUGUACGAACUAGCUCAGAAAACCGAAAAUGCUAGCAAGCAAAGUGGAACCCAGCAAUCUAGUUAAGAGAGAAGAGGCAAAGAGAAGAAAGGAGGUUCUGUAACUGAACCAAAGCCUCC
rnacentral:misc_RNA from 1 species